CAUUGUCGCCAGAUGAAGUGGAGUCUACCUUGAAAUACCACCCUUGUAUGCGUGAUGUUCUAACCUAGGGCCCUUAUCGGGCUUGGGGACACUGUCUGGUGGGUAGUUUGAC
rnacentral:rRNA from 1 species